AUGGUGUCUGUCUCCGAGCUCACCUGCAUCUACUCUUCCCUCAUCCUGUAGGACAUUGAGGUGAUGGUCACGGAAGUUAAGAUCAAUGCCCUCAUUAAAGCAGCUGGUAUCAGCAUUGAACCUUUCUGGCCUGGCUCGUUUGCAAAGGCUCUGGCCAAUGUCAACACUGGUAGGCUAAUCUGCAAUGUUGGGGCUGCUGGGCCCACUCCAGCUGCUGGAGCUGCACCUUCUGGUGGUCCUGCUCCAUCCACUGCUGCCACCCCAGCUGAGGAGAAGAAAGUGGAAGCAAAGAAGGAAGAGUCCGAGGAGUCCGAAGAUGACAGGGGCUUUGGUCUUUUUGACUAA
rnacentral:lncRNA from 1 species